rnacentral:ribozyme from 14 species
AUGAUUCGGAUUCGGAUUCAGAAAAUCGUAAUGAAACAACAACGAAUACUAAUUCUUAUUAUUCUCCCUCUAAUGCGGUGUACUUAAAACGAGAAUGCAUCGAACUGAAAAUAAAAGUG